rnacentral:rRNA from 1 species
GAUGAACGCUGGCGGCGUGCUUAACACAUGCAAGUCGAGCGAGAGGUUUUGAAAAGAUUCUUCGGAUGAAAUUUAAAAUGGGAAGCGGCGGACGGGUGAGUAACGCGUAGGCAACCUGCCCCAUACAAAGGGAUAGCAUUUGGAAACGAAUAUUAAUACCUUAUGAAACUUAACUAGUGCAUGCUAGGUAGGUCAAAGAUUUAUCGGUAUGGGAUGGGCCUGCGUCUGAUUAGCUAGUUGGUGAGGUAACGGCUCACCAAGGCGACGAUCAGUAGCCGACCUGAGAGGGUGAACGGCCACAUUGGAACUGAGACACGGUCCAAACUCCUACGGGAGGCAGCAGUGGGGAAUAUUGCACAAUGGGGGAAACCCUGAUGCAGCAACGCCGCGUGAACGAUGAAGGCCUUUGGGUCGUAAAGUUCUGUUCUAGGUGAUGAAAACUGACAGUAACCUAGGAGAAAGCCCCGGCUAACUCCGUG